rnacentral:rRNA from 1 species
GACGGAGGGUGCAAACGUUGUUCGGAAUUACUGGGCGUAAAGCGCGUGUAGGCGGCACGGCAAGUCGGAUGUGAAAGCCCGCGGCUCAACCGUGGAAGUGCACUCGAAACUGCCGAGCUAGAGUCUCGGAGAGGAAGGUGGAAUGCUUGGUGUAGAGGUGAAAUUCGUAGAUAUCAAGCAGAACACCUGUGGCGAAGGCGGCCUUCUGGACGAUGACUGACGCUGAGACGCGAAAGCGUGGGGAGCAAACAGG